UGGGGAAUAUUGCGCAAUGGGGGGAACCCUGACGCAGCCAUGCCGCGUGAAUGAAGAAGGCCUUAGGGUUGUAAAGUUCUUUCGGUAUUGAGGAAGGUUGAUGUGUUAAUAGCACAUCAAAUUGACGUUAAAUACAGAAGAAGCGCCGGCUAACUCCGUGCCAGCAGCCGCGGUAAUACGGAGGGUGCGAGCGUUAAUCGGAAUAACUGGGCGUAAAGGGCACGCAGGCGGUUAUUUAAGUGAGGUGUGAAAGCCCCGGGCUUAACCUGGGAAUUGCAUUUCAGACUGGGUAACUAGAGUACUUUAGGGAGGGGUAGAAUUCCACGUGUAGCGGUGAAAUGCGUAGAGAUGUGGAGGAAUACCGAAGGCGAAGGCAGCCCCUUGGGAAUGUACUGACGCUCAUGUGCGAAAGCGUGGGAAGCAAACAGGAUUAGAUACCCUGGUAGUCCACGCUGUAAACGCUGUCGAUUUGGGGGUUGGGGUUUAACUCUGGCGCCCGUAGCUAACGUGAUAAAUCGACCGCCUGGGGAGUACGGCCGCAAGGUUA
rnacentral:rRNA from 1 species